AGCAGCCGCGGUAAUUCCAGCUCCAAUAGCGUAUAUUAAAGUUGUUGCAGUUAAAAAGCUCGUAGUUGAAUUUCGGGAUCAAUAUAUCGGUCAUGCUUAGGUAUGUACUGGUAUUAUUGAUUUCUCCCUUCUGAAGAACCAUGAUGUCAUUAAUUUGAUGUCGUGGGGAAUCAGGACUGUUACUUUGAAAAAAUUAGAGUGUUUAAAGCAGGCAUACGCUUGAAUACAUUAGCAUGGAAUAAUGAAAUAGGACGUUUGAUUCUAUUUUGUUGGUUUCUAGGAUCGACGUAAUGAUUAAUAGGGAUAGUUGGGGGCAUUAGUAUUCAAUUGUCAGAGGUGAAAUUCUUGGAUUUAUUGAAGACUAACUACUGCGAAAGCAUUUGCCAAGGAUGUUUUCAUUAAUCAAGAACGAAAGUUAGGGGAUCGAAGACGAUCAGAUACGUCCGUAGUCUUAACCAUAAACUAUGCCGACUACGGGAUCGGAUGAUAGUUUAAUUUUUAAUUAGUACUCUAC
rnacentral:rRNA from 1 species